CUGGACGACGCCGCUGCAGCCUCACAGAUCAUCCCCCGCGACUAUCUCCCUUCUGUCAUACCUGUGUGAAGGGAAGACAGAUUCGUAGAGUGUGAUUCGUGACUGUCGUCUUCACUGGAAUAACAAGAUUUCACUGUGGAUGAUGAAGACGAUGGGGCUUCUGUUGGGCACCUGAAGGCCUCCCAGCCACGGAGAAGUGCCUGCCUGCCAGCUGAGAGGUGAGGGGAGCGCCAGGACCUGCUGGCUAGACUGCGCCACGGGGACGCUCUGCCCAGCGGCGCAGAUCAAUCCAAGUCGCGCUGCCGCCGUGCUGCUCACCUGGCGGCUCGCUCUCCCGCCGCUACGCGCAUCACACAUGUUUUAUAUGUACUUCUUAUAGGUACUGCUGCAGCCUGCCAUGGGAUUAGUGUACUACAUGUCACUGAUAGAAAAAGGUACAACCACAGAACCCACCCGCAUGCGUCCCAAAGUGGAUCGAGUAUGCAGGACGCCUGUGUAGGUGAUUAGGAUUCCAUCAGCUGAGUUGCUCAUGCAUCACACAUAAAUACAUUGGUACAUAGACUA